rnacentral:rRNA from 1 species
GACGAACGCUGGCGGCGUGCCUAAUACAUGCAAGUAGAACGCACAGUAUAUACCGUAGCUUGCUACACCAUAGACUGUGAGUUGCGAACGGGUGAGUAACGCGUAGGUAACCUGCCUGGUAGCGGGGGAUAACUAUUGGAAACGAUAGCUAAUACCGCAUAAUAUUAAUUAUUGCAUGAUAAUUGAUUGAAAGAUGCAACUGCAUCACUACCAGAUGGACCUGCGUUGUAUUAGCUAGUAGGUGAGGUAACGGCUCACCUAGGCGACGAUACAUAGCCGACCUGAGAGGGUGAUCGGCCACACUGGGACUGAGACACGGCCCAGACUCCUACGGGAGGCAGCAGUAGGGAAUCUUCGGCAAUGGACGAAAGUCUGACCGAGCAACGCCGCGUGAGUGAAGAAGGUUUUCGGAUCGUAAAGCUCUGUUGUAAGAGAAGAACGGGUGUGAGAGUGGAAAGUUCACACUGUGACGGUAUCUUACCAGAAAGGGACGGCUAACUACGUGCCAGCAGCCGCGGUAAUACGUAGGUCCCGAGCGUUGUCCGGAUUUAUUGGGCGUGAGCGAGCGCAGGCGGUUAGAUAAGUCUGAAGUUUAAAGGCUGUGGCUA